GCAGUAAGUUAAGAACAUAAAGGAAGCAAAUUGUAAGUGACACUAGCAAAGCUAGCUAGCUAAAGUCGUCAAUCUGCCUCUGUACCAAAACUCUUCAGAAAUCU